GGAAGCGUGGCCGAGUGGAUUAAGGCACUGGUCUUGAAAACCAGCGAACCGCAAGGUUCCGUGAGUUCGAAUCUCACCGCUUCCGCCA
rnacentral:tRNA from 1 species